rnacentral:rRNA from 1 species
AAGAACUUGUCCAUCGGCGGGGGAUAGCCGGCCCAACGGCCGGGUAAUACCGCGUACGCCGUCUGAAGCGCAUGCUUCGGCCGGGAAAGCAGCAAUGCACCGAUGGAGAGCUUCGCGGCCUAUCAGCUAAUUGGCGGGGUAAUGGCCCACCAAGGCGACGACGGGUAGCUGGUCUGAGAGGAUGAUCAGCCACACUGGGACUGAGACACGGCCCAG